GGGUCAGUAGGUUGGUCGUGCCACCGGUACGUACUGGUCUCACUGAUUCCUCCUUCCGGAAGAGCCGUAAUGCCAUUAAUUUGGUGUUGCGUGGAAACAGGACUGUUACUUUGAAAAAAUUAGAGUGUUUAAAGCAAGCUAACGCUUGAAUACAUUAGCAUGGAAUAAUGAAAUAGGACGAUCGAUCCUAUUUUGUUGGUUUCUAGGAUUGACGUA
rnacentral:rRNA from 1 species